rnacentral:rRNA from 1 species
AUUGAACGCUGGCGGCAUGCCUUACACAUGCAAGUCGAACGGCAGCGCGGGGCAACCUGGCGGCGAGUGGCGAACGGGUGAGUAAUAUAUCGGAACAUACCCUAGAGUGGGGGAUAACGUAGCGAAAGUUACGCUAAUACCGCAUACGCACUAAGGUGGAAAGUGGGGGAUCUUCGGACCUCAUGCUCAUGGAGUGGCCGAUAUCUGAUUAGCUAGUUGGUGAGGUAAAGGCUCACCAAGGCGACGAUCAGUAGCUGGUUUGAGAGAACGACCAGCCACACUGGAACUGAGACACGGUCCAGACUCCUACGGGAGGCAGCAGUGGGGAAUUUUGGACAAUGGGCGAAAGCCUGAUCCAGCAAUGCCGCGUGAGUGAUGAAGGCCUUAGGGUUGUAAAGCUCUUUUACCCGGGAUGAUAAUGACAGUACCGGGAGAAUAAGCUCCGGCUAACUCCGUGCCAGCAGCCG